rnacentral:rRNA from 1 species
UACGUAGGUGGCAAGCGUUGUCCGGAUUUACUGGGCGUAAAGAGCGCGCAGGCGGUCGAUUUAGUCGCGUGUGAAAGCCCCCGGCUCAACUGGGGAGGGUCACGCGAUACUGAUCGACUCGAAGGCAGGAGAGGGUAGUGGAAUUCCCGGUGUAGUGGUGAAAUGCGUAGAUAUCGGGAGGAACACCAGUGGCGAAGGCGACUCUUUGGCCUGUAACUGACGCUGAGGCGCGAAAGCGUGGGGAGCAAACAGG